rnacentral:lncRNA from 1 species
UUCUUCGCAACCCAGACGGUUAUAUAAGAUUCACUGGGUGCCAUUGCCAAUUUACUGAAAGCAAUUUUUUGAUAUUGCACAUCAUUUCAGUGAUGUUGUAAAGACACUGAAAACUGGAAUAUUUGCUACCUUUUGUUCUAAAGACUUUAUUAGUUUGGGAACAUCAGAUUCCAAACAAUGCAAUUAUUCAUCAUUAAUUUUUUUUCCACUCUUCCCUCUGGAAUAAACUCUAUUUCAGGUCAAGCUUGUUGGGAAAUUUCAAUGCGAGACAGAGCAAUCAGACAACAAACAAAAGCAGAAGUUUGGUUGUCAUGGAUGUAUUUUUAAUGCACGUUCCAGGAUCCUUGCUCGUCUGAAGGUGUGCAGAUGGAAAACCUAAGUGCCUCC